rnacentral:lncRNA from 1 species
GCCGGGCCCUGCUCGCCAACCCCGUGCUGGGCUGAUUGCCGAGGUAGAUGCCACCCACGCACCCCCGCGGCUGGGGAGCGCGAGCUGGAGGAUGCGGAGAGGCCUGAGGCAGGGGGGCCAGGCGCGCGCGCCCUAGGCAGUCUCAGAGGGGCCUGCUGAAGACUGAGGACGGAGGUGGGGGCAACAGGAUGGGGAGCCCGCAAUAGCCCAUCCUGACCUAAUCCGAAAGGACGAGAUCCUGGAGCCGCUCACAAAGUUUUCCGGGCCCCCUCCCACGCGUCGCCUGCACGUAUGUCCGUUUCCCGACGCUCCGCCCUCCCCCGCCAAGUUCGGCGUCUCCCAGCUCAGCGGCAGUCAGGGUGCAGAGGGAGCCCGACCUUGUCCCCGCCUCGGCCCGUCCCGCUUCUUCUGAAGCUUGUUUCAUUUUUAACUCCUUCCAGAAAAAUGUUGUUUUAAGGAAAAUCUCAAAGGAACAAAAAGCCAAUAGUGCCUUCCUUAUUUGCAAUCCCCACCCACCUCUGAGCUCGGACUGCAAGGGCCUCAAGGGACACCAGGUGACACCUGGGCCUUGCUUCUCACGGGUGACCUUGGAC